AGUCUCCAUAAUCUAAUCUCCAGAAUGCACUAAACCAGGAGAAGAUCCACCUGGUCUGCUGGAGUUUGCUGGAGGUCCACUCCAGACCCUGUUUGCCUGGGUAUCACCGGCAGAGGCUGCAGAGCAGCAAAGAUUGCUGCCUGCUCCUUCCUCUGGAAGCUUCAUCCCAAAGGGGCACCCGCCUGAUGCCAGCCAGAGCUCUCCUGUACGAGAGAUGCCCUGCCCAGUGAGGAGGAAUCUAGAGAAGCAGUCUGGCCAUAGCUUUGCUGCACUGCGCACUUCUCCUUGCUGCCGCCAUGUGAAGAAGAAUGUGUUUGCUUCCCCUUCCGCCAUGAUUGUAAGUUUCCUGAGGUCUCCUCAACCAUGCUGAACUGUCAUGACAUUUUGAGCACAAUUGUGUGUGGGAUGCAUUCAUCAAUAGAGCUGGAAGCACCAACCACCAUAGGAGAGGAAACUUUUAGUUACAAGCACAUGAAUAAAUAAAAUCAAACUCAACUGGAAUGACGUUCCUGAGGAUGGAGAUACAUUUUUUUGUUGACCCAUCUAAACUUGAACAGCAAGUGAUAAUCAGUCUCCAAUCAGAAAGUCCCAGAAUGCUGAGUGCUCUGUAUUUGUAAUCCCAUUGCUCCUAUUGAGAAGUUAGCUGUUGGCCAAACUAUUCCUACUUUCAAGAUCUCCCCGGCCCACAAAAUACUUAAAAAGUAACCGGACUCUUUGUUCAGGGCUCAAUCUUUUUGGAUGUUAAUCUGACUGGGCCGGUGCACCUAAAUAAUAAAUAAUAUAUAUCCUCCUCGACCUUUGGUCUCUCUGAUUCCUAAAUUAUCCUGCUGCACCAGGACUUAUAGGAGCAGAAAUCAGAAGACUUUACUCCACACACUUCAGGUGGACAUGUGGACAAAGCCAUCGGAGAACAUGACAAAAAUACAGCAAGAGCAGAGACAAGAUCAGAUCAUCCUGGGGGCAGAUGCUGGGCUCUGACCAAUUUGAGAGAGAAAAGGAAAAAGAACCCAGCUACAAGAUGCACAAGUAGCAGGCCACAGCCACCAACAUCAGCAGAGCAAUUGGAGGCCAGGAAGACAAGGACACUUCUGAAGAGACUGAAAAAAGCAGAAGACAGUCCAAGUCACUGCAAGGUUCCAAGGUCUCUUUUUUCAUUACUGUUACAAGUACCAAGUAAGCCAAAAUCCACCCUACUCUUCAAAACCAUCUUGAAGAGUUGCAGGUCAGGGUUGCUGCAUCUGAGCAUGUUUACUCACAAAAGGUGACAGAUGCUCCUCAACUUACAAUGAGAUUACAUCCUGAUAAAUGUGUCAUAAGUUGAAAGUAUCUUAUAAGUCGAAAAUGCAUUUACUACAGCCUAACCCACUGAACAUUGUAGCUUAGGCUAGCCUACCUUAAAACGUGAUCAGGACACUUCCCUCAGCCUACAUUUGGGCAAAAUCACCUAACACGAAGCCUAUUUUAUAAUAGAGCAUUGAAUAGCUCAAAUAAUUUAUUGAAUACUGUACAUUACAUAGAAUUUGUGACAGUUUUACACCAUCAUUAUGUCAAAAAAUCAUUAAGUUGAGCCACCAUAACUCAGGGACUGUCUGUAUUUAUAUUUUUACUUCACACUAAGCUUUGAAACUGAAAUUUUUGCUCCUCAGCAGAUGGGGUUUCUGAGAAAGACCAAAUUAGUUAUAGAGCACUAGCUCCCAAAAAAAAAAAAAAAAAAAAACAGAAGAAGUCAGAGGAGGAGGGCAACAUGGAGCAGAGGAAGAAGGAGAGAAAAAGCAAGAAACCAUUAUCGCUCCCUCAUCUGAACUGCACUGCGAGUAAGCUGGGGCUUCCACCACAGUGUCCUGGAAGCCAUGUUUGCUGCCCAUUUCUGGACUCUCCAGCCACACUGGCCUCCUUUCCCUUUCUCAAACCUGCUGUGGUUCCUGCCACUUCAAGAUAAUCUCUUAACAAUCUAUUCCUUCUGCCUGGAAUGCUCUUCCUCCCACCCAACCCCGCUCUGCCCAGCUAACUCCAUUCUUUGGCCCCUGCAUCACUUUCCCAAGGAAGCCAUUUCUGGACUUCCCUGACCCCUGCCUUCCAUCUUCACUGGCCCAGAGUUCCCUACCCUAUGGUCUCAUUGCUCCCUCCCAGGCACUGCUGCCUCCCAGGACUCUUCCCUGUCGGUAAUAUAGUUCUGUUUGAUUGUUCAGUUAAUUUUGCCUCCCCUGAAGACCAUAAGCCAUGUUGGCAAUGAUGGUUUUGCUCACCAUUGCACCUCCAGUGUCUAAAAACCAUGGGCAGGUCAAUUCAUUUUUGUUGAGUAAAGGAAUUGUUCAAUAAGUGCACAAAUAAAUUCACAUUAAAACUUGUCCAAAAACAAAGGAGUUUUCUUGUGAGAAGCAGCUGCUCAUUCUGGGGCAUUCAAGUGCAGUGAGAUGACAACGAUGACCAUUGGAGAUGCUUUCAAAGUGAUGCCGGCACUAGACAGAUGGCUGGAGUGUGUACCCUUUAAGGACUCACCUAUCUCAGAAGUCAUGUGUGUUUCUGUAUGUGUAAAUGCACAAACAGACUGGAAGGAUAUGUGUUCAGCGUCUUUUCAGACUGUGAAGGUCCCUGCAACCAGAAGGAGAGCUGUCUUCAGGAAAGGAUGAAGGGAACGAGCAUCUGUCUGUGACUCUGGUGGUUGUGCAGGCAGGUCACCUCAAGGUGGAGUGACACUGUGGUGGGACAGGUGGAGCACCAGUGAGGAAGCUCUCAUGGGCCUGAGCCAACUGAAUUAAUUAAGACCAAGAACAGUAAAGGGACCCAGAGGGCAAACUCUGAGAGGCAGUCAUAAGCAGCACCCUCUCCCCAAACUGUAUUACUCAUUCCCACAGAAGUGUGUGUCUGCUUGCCUUUAAUCUGUUCUGACUGUAAGCCAUUUUGAGACAUCCCAGUCCCAAUGAUGGCCACCAUGUUCUGCAUUGAAUAGAUGCUUGACAUACAUCCAAUUAGUAAAAGCGAGUGAACU
rnacentral:lncRNA from 1 species